rnacentral:sRNA from 1 species
GACCUAACCCGUAGGGCAACUUACGGCACGGUCAAAAAUCGUUGAACGCAGAAAGCUCCUAGUCAGAGCACGCGUUCAACGUCGUAUCGGGAAACCUUUACGGGUCUCGCAAGAGACC